GACCAUUGGUCGGGAUGCAGAGCCAAUAGACCUUGACGAUGUCAAGGAAUCAAAGUUUGUCCCACCAGCAGGCGACAAGAAGUGAAAGGCCGACCAACUAGUGAUUGUCAAGAAAGAGAUGCAAUAGCAAUCAUUGAGCGCGGAACGCUCAGAUGAACUCCGUCCCAACCGGCUGGUGAGCACAUCGACAUCGCUCUAGGCGACCCACGUCUAGAGCGAAUUGUUAAGGUGGGGACGAUUGCCUUUGUAAAUUUGGGGGCAGACUUGCAGCUGAAAGAAUUCAAGGACAUUUUUGCCUUUGAAGUGGAAAAGAUGCACUAGUAGAAAAACACAAAUGUGCACCUACAAAUGAGCACCGGUUUUCAAAAACCGGUGCGAAAAACACAAGCUAAACCCAAUAAAUUUAAAAUGGCACUAGUUAACCGAUGCCCUUAAUAAUUAAAAAAAAAACCCACGUAUAGUAAAUAGGGGCAGCGGUUAACCGAUGCCCUUAUUCCCUUAAUAAUUAAUAAGCUUUAAUCCUUCUUCGUCCUCCUUUCUCUCUCUUUUUUCUCGCUCCCCCUUUCCCUUUCCCUUUCUCUCUCUAUCUCUUCUCUCUUUAUCUGGGUUUUCCACCGCCACCCCUUCCACUGCCAGCCCACUCCAUCUCUUUAUUUCUUUUCUCUCCUCAUUCUUCACGGUGAUGAUGGUGACGGUGGUCGUGAUCCGCCAACCCACUUCAUCUCUCUAUCUCUUCUCGAGUCCUCCUGAAAUUUCCGUGGUUCGAUCUGAUGCUUCAAAUCCAUGGCAUCCAGCUUCUCCCUCAAAAGCAGCAGCAGGGUUUAAUUGAGUUUUACACUCGACUGCAUGUUGCUGUUCUGCCUUUGCUUUGUUUCAAUGGCGUUGUCUGCUUCAGACCUUUCGAUGACGUAUUAAUUGCUCGGUAAUUUUCUCAGCGCGAACAAACUGUUCGGAAAUCGCGAAAACUACGAUUUCUCAGUCCGAAAGUCGACCUGGUUUCUACUCUUAGUUAUUGCUUCUUGUUCAAAUCGUUAAGUUGUCACAAAAGAAGGAAUGGAGGGUGAUAGUGGAGGAUGGAAGGAAUGGAGAGUGAUAAUGCUGAUGUUCUUCUACUAUGAAAUUCUUUUCUGCUGCUUCUAUGCUGUAGUGAUGCUGCUGCUUUUGUGCUGUUGUGCUGCUGCUUUCGUGCUGUUGUGCAGCUGCAUAUGUUUUUCUUUGUGUGUAGGUGGAUUUGGUGAAGUUAAAGGGUAAUUUAGAUGAAAGUUUCCCAUAUACAGAAUUUUAUUUUAUUUUAUUUGUGUGUAACCAUGUAUUUUAUUUUACAUUAUUUUUUUAGAUGAAAAUUGUAAUAUU